ACGAACGCUGGCGGCGUGCCUAACACAUGCAAGUCGAACGAGAAAGGGGCUUCGGCCCCGAGUAAAGUGGCGCACGGGUGAGUAACACGUGGGUAACCUGCCUCUAAGAUGGGGAUAACCUGUCGAAAGACGGACUAAUACCGAAUAAGACCACAGUUUCCUUGGAAACAGGGGUCAAAGGUAGCCUCUACUUGUAAGCUACCACUUAGAGAUGGGCCUGCGUACCAUUAGCUAGUUGGUGGGGUAACGGCCUACCAAGGCAAAGAUGGUUAGCUGGUCUGAGAGGAUGAUCAGCCACACUGGAACUGAGACACGGUCCAGACUCCUACGGGAGGCAGCAGUGGGGAAUAUUGCGCAAUGGGCGCAAGCCUGACGCAGCAACGCCGCGUGAGUGAUGAAGGCCUUCGGGUCGUAAAGCUCUGUCGGAGGGAACGAAUGCUCUUGGGGUUAACAGCCCCGAGAAGUGACGGUACCCUCAAAGGAAGCACCGGCUAACUCUGUGCCAGCAGCCGCGGUAAUACAGAGGGUGCGAGCGUUAAUCGGAGUUACUGGGCGUAAAGGGCGCGUAGGCGGUAGAAUGAGUGUGAUGUGAAAGCCCCGGGCUUAACCUGGGAAGUGCAUCGCAAACGAUUUUACUGGAGUUUGGGAGAGGGUGGCGGAAUUUCCGGUGUAGCGGUGAAAUGCGUAGAGAUCGGAAGGAACGUCGAUGGCGAAGGCAGCCACCUGGCCCAGAACUGACGCUGAGGCGCGAAAGCGUGGGGAGCGAACAGGAUUAGAUACCCUGGCAGUCCACGCUGUAAACGAUGAGGACUAGAUGUUGGUGGGGGAACCCAUUAGUAUCGAAGCUAACGCGAUAAGUCUUCCGCCUGGGAAGUACGGCCGCAAGGUUGAAACUCAAAGAAAUUGACGGGGGCCCGCACAAGCGGUGGAGCAUGUGGUUUAAUUCGACGCAACGCGAAGAACCUUACCUGGGUUUGACAUGCACUCGACUGGUGGUGAAAACCAUCUUCUCUUCGGAGCGGGUGCACAGGUGCUGCAUGGCUGUCGUCAGCUCGUGUCGUGAGAUGUUGGGUUAAGUCCCGCAACGAGCGCAACCCUUGCCCUUUGUUGCUACCAGGUUAUGCUGGGCACUCUGAGGGGACUGCCCCGGUGAACGGGGAGGAAGGUGGGGAUGACGUCAAGUCCUCAUGGCCUUUAUGCCCAGGGCUACACACGUGCUACAAUGGCAAAGACAAUGGGUUGCUCCCGCGUAAGCGGUUGCCAAUCCCAAAAACUUUGUCCCAGUUCGGAUGGUUGGCUGCAACUCGCCAGCCUGAAGCUGGAUCGCUAGUAAUCGGAGAUCAGCACGCUCCGGUGAUACGUUCCCGGCUUGCCACA
rnacentral:rRNA from 1 species